rnacentral:rRNA from 1 species
AUUGAACGCUGGCGGCAGGCCUAACACAUGCAAGUCGAGCGAGCGGCGGACGGGUGAGUAAUGUCUGGGAAACUGCCUGAUGGAGGGGGAUAACUACUGGAAACGGUAGCUAAUACCGCAUACCAUCAGAUGUGCCCAGAUGGGAUUAGCUAGUAGGUGGGGUAACGGCUCACCUAGGCGACGAUCCGUAGCUGGUUUGAGAGGACGACCAGCCACACUGGGACUGAGACACGGCCCAGACUCCUACGGGAGGCAGCAGUGGGGAAUUUUGGACAAUGGGGGAAACCCUGAUCCAGCCAUCCCGCGUGUGCGAUGAAGGCCUUCGGGUUGUAAAGCACUUUUGGCAGGAAAGCGGUACCUGCAGAAUAAGCACCGGCUAACUACGUGCCAGCAGCCGCGGUAAUAC